GAUGAAGAACGCAGCGAAAUGCGAUACUUGGUGUGAAUUGCAGAAUCCCGUGAACCAUCGAGUCUUUGAACGCAAGUUGCGCCCGAAGCCAUUAGGCCGAGGGCACGCCUGCCUGGGCGUCACACGUCGUUGCCCCCCCAUCUACUCCUUCGGGAUUGCGGGGGGCGGAUGUUGGCCUCCCGUGCGCCUCGCCGCGCGGUUGGCAUAAAUGCCAAGUCCUCGGCGACGCACGCCACGACAAUCGGUGGUUGCGAAACCUCGGUUGCCCGUCGUGUGCGGUCGUCGCGCAUCGAGGGCUCGAAAAAAUUGCCGGGUUCCGGCUCGGCUUUCAACGCGACCCCAGGUCAGGCGGGGUUACCCGCUGAAUUUAAGCAUAUCAAUAAGCGGAGGA
rnacentral:misc_RNA from 1 species